UCGAUUUAUCUAUCAACUUUGUUUUUUAUCGCUCCAUAUAAAUUUUUUUAAAUUAUAAAAUAUAUCUGAUUAAAAUUUUAUCAAAAAAUUUUUAAUGUGAUCGAUCCAUUCUAGAUCACUAUAGUCAAAGAUAUACUUAAUUUGAGUAUACUUGAUUUAUAAGAACAUAGCAGACAAUAGUUCAUAUAUAAAUAUAUGCUCUAUAUAAUUACAUAUGAGUCUAUAAAAAAUAUUAUUAAACUCAGUUGUAAGUCCCUCAAAG
rnacentral:lncRNA from 1 species